rnacentral:misc_RNA from 1 species
GUGGGAGGGGGCUUGCCCCCGAUGGCGGAGUGUCAGUCAGCACAUAUGGCAGCUGACACACCGCUAUCGGGGGCAAGCCCCCUCCCAC